UUUUAAUCUAUUAUAAUAAGUCAUCUUGUGACAAAACAAAUUUGUGUUACUGUACCGAUACGAUUUAAUAAGCUUAUAACUGUGACUGUACCAAUAUUAUUGGAUUGUCUUUAGACGUGACUUUGCUCUCGGUUUGGCGAUUUUAAACACAUUGUCACAUUCGCAGGCUAACGUUCAAGCUAACAACAUCAAAGUUACUCGCCUGCUAUUGAAAUUGCCAGUUCGGUAGUGGAGUUAACGUUGAUGAGAUAUGUAAUUAGUCAAGUUCAGCGUUACAUCAAAUCAAUCAAUUUGAUGUACAUUAUUAGAACAAAGGACACAUUCUGCAAUUUAUGUUAGCCUUAAGACAAUAUUCAUAGCGUUUAAUAUAUUUUGUACUGAAGAGGACCCGAAGCGAGGGUCGAAACGUUUACCAAUUAAUGUAAUUCUUCGAAUAAAGUUU